CCGGUGGCCCUCCUGCUCCCCUCACCUUGACCAGCUUGGAGACCGGCCUCGCCGCCGAAGUGCUCAGCUGCCGCACCUGCGGGGCACAAAACGGACGGAGGGACCAGGCUGGGAAAUGGUCUCCCAGGGACUGCCCUUUAUCUUCCACAGGAACAGUUGGUACUUUUGCUGAAUCUAAUUCACCUGGUUGUUUUCCAUACCUCUGCUCCAUAAGCAGUUCCGCUCUGGCAGGUAAGUUCAAACUGUGGUAAUGUGCGAGUGGCUAUGGAGAAAAUAACAAAGAGGAGAUUCAUAGUGCCUGCUCCAGCACUGCUGUGGAAAAUGAGGUGUUAACAUAAACUCACAUCUGGAGUCAGAAUGUUAACAUACAUAGUGAAUUAGAGGUGCUGAUCCAUGUUCUUGAGGUCUGUCACAGAAAUGUCCACUGACAUGGCAGAAUCAGCAGAGAUUAUUGGCUGAGCAGAUUUGGAACAUGAACCACCUUUUCAUUUAGGACUGAAAGUGGCCUUUCAAGUGGAAGACCUCUCUUACUUCAGUUUAAACUUGGGCCAGUAUCUGCCCAGUUCGUAGCACAGUAGAUCUCCAAAAUACUCAGAGGUCAGAGGUAUUUCUGCAAAGCUGAGACCCCAGCCCGCCAUCCACUCCCCACAUGUAGAUCUUUGUGUCUGCUUCGAACUGAAAUUAACCUGUCUUUUGCAUCGAUGCAAGCAUCUUGCCCAGUGAGCGUAUUGCAGCAUUUUGUGUUAGAUAGAUGCCUCAGCAGAUUCUGGUUGCAUGUUAGGGCUACAGCUUACUCAUUACCACAAGAGGGAAGCCAAUACUAAUAUUAUAACUUUCUGCAUGUAUUACCUAUGGUUAUUGUGGCAAGGUUUUUAUCCAUUUCAAGGCUGUUGCACGUCUCCUCUUUCCUUCUAGCAAACUUGCAUUUGAUCAUAUGUCAGAAACUAAAGAACAUUAUUCCACAUUCCAUUUGCUCAAUGUUCUGUGAAAUGAAUUUCAUGGAUUUGCCUAUCAUCUUGUUUGAAUGGCAAAUACAUAAAGCUGAAACAGAAAGUUGGUACAGAACUAAGCUGGUUGCUUUCUUAGUGAAUUUGAACAGUCCCACAUGCAAGUAAGAGGAAGUUUGGUGGCCAUGGGACUUGAAAAAAUAAAGAUGUUUUCCCUCAUUUGGAUGAGCAUGAGAAAUUGAAGAUUAUUCUAGAAGUCAUAGACAU